ensembl:lncRNA
AUCCGAGUCAUUUGCCGACCGUGUUUUUGGACAGGAGCACAACACAUUCCAUCCAACCCUGUAGGCUACUUUCCCUAAUCAUGUGUCUCUAUAUAGUCGCCGACACCGGAAACAGCUGUGUAUCCUAUUAUUCCUAGCACUUGGAUAACUAAGUUUUGGCAUUUUAAAGGUGGAUCAGUGUAAUAGUCUAUAUAAAAAAAUCUGUAUGAAAAAACACAUUUUUCACAACAACCGGCUGGAUGAUGCUGUGCAUGUGUGCGUAAAGUCUACAUUUUCUUCUGAACUUGGCGAUAAACGUCAGCUAUUCAAGCACUGCUGUGCGGGGAAACGAGCCUGGCGUUCGAUUGCUGCAGCUGCGGAGGGGAUGGUAUGUGAGGUGUGUGUCAAGGCGAUACAGGGAGGACUGUUAACCAUGUGCUACAGUGGCUAGGGUUCCCCAUCAUUCCCAGGGCCUCCCAUCACUGUCUUUCUGUCUGUGGUGCCACCCAUCACUGGCUGAGGAGGAGAGGGCCUCCCAUCACUGGCAGAGGAGGAGAGGGCCUCCCAUCACUGGCAGAGGAAGGAGAGGGCCACCCAUCACUGGCUGAGGAGGAGAGGGCCACCCAUCACUGGCUGAG